GUGCUCACUUUGGCAGCACACACAUUAAAAUUGUAAUGGCCAGAGAAGAUGAGCAUGGCUCCUGUGCAAGGAUGACAAGCAAAUCCAUGAAACAUUCCAUAUUUUU
ensembl:snRNA U6 U6 spliceosomal RNA